rnacentral:lncRNA from 1 species
GUUUAUCACAUUGCUAAAGACGAAACCGAAGUACAAAGAGAAGUGGUAGAAGUUGGGGGGUGAGGCUGAUUCAUCAAAUUCCAGUUGAAUUAGUGUUUGCUUAUGCUAUGACGGGAAAUAGUGAUAUGUGGAGUUUGUGGUGUGGCAGUAAUGUCUGGAAAUAGCGUUCGAUAAAUACACGGAAGACUAGUGCAAGUUUGUAGUUACUGAGAUUCGUUUCUGUAUCGAUCUAUCAAGGCAGAGUCGUUCAGGUGUUCAAUACUGCAUUGACCUUCUGAAUGGAGUUGAUUGAGCAGUCUUCUUCAGUAGUUUGUGAUAUUCAAUCAGGUAUCGGAAUCUACUUCUUUGUUGUUGAU